UACAGAGGGGGCAAGCGUUAUUCGGAAUUAUUGGGCGUAAAGGGCGCGUAGGCGAUCUGACAAGUCUGGUGUGAAAGCCCACAUGUUAACUGUGGAAGUGCAUUAGAAACUGUUGGAUUUGAGUUCAGGAGAGGAAGGCAGAAUUCCCGGUGUAGCGGUGAAAUGCGUAGAGAUCGGGAGGAAUACCAGUGGCGAAGGCGGCCUUCUGGACUGACACUGACGCUGAGGCGCGAAAGCUAGGGGAGCAAACAGG
rnacentral:rRNA from 1 species